rnacentral:tRNA from 1 species
GCCCGGAUGGCGGAAUCGGCAGACGCGUCGGACUCAAAAUCCGAUUCCCUUUGGGAGUGAGGGUUCGACCCCCUCUCCGGGCA